rnacentral:rRNA from 1 species
AGGAAGGCUCGUCCGCUCUGGGUUAGUCGGGUCCUAAGCUGAGGCCGACAGGCGUAGGCGAUGGAUAACAGGUUGAUAUUCCUGUACCACCUAUAAUCGUUUUAAUCGAUGGGGGGACGCAGUAGGAUAGGCGAAGCGUGCGAUUGGAUUGCACGUCUAAGCAGUAAGGCUGAGUAUUAGGCAAAUCCGGUACUCGUUAAGGCUGAGCUGUGAUGGGGAGAAGACAUUGUGUCUUCGAGUCGUUGAUUUCACACUGCCGAGAAAAGCCUCUAGAUAGAAAAUAGGUGCCCGUACCGCAAACCGACACAGGUAGUCAAGAUGAGAAUUCUAAGGUGAGCGAGCGAACUCUCGUUAAGGAACUCGGCAAAAUGACCCCGUAACUUCGGGAGAAGGGGUGCUCUUUAGGGUUAACGCCCAGAAGAGCCGCAGUGAAUAGGCCCAAGCGACUGUUUAUCAAAAACACAGGUCUCUGCUAAACCGUAAGGUGAUGUAUAGGGGCUGACGCCUGCCCGGUGCUGGAAGGUUAAGAGGAGUGGUUAGCUUCUGCGAAGCUACGAAUCGAAGCCCCAGUAAACGGCGGCCGUAACUAUAACGGUCCUAAGGUAGCGAAAUUCCUUGUCGGGUAAGUUCCGACCCGCACGAAAGGCGUAACGAUUUGGGCACUGUCUCAACGAGAGACUCGGUGAAAUCAUAGUACCUGUGAAGAUGCAGGUUACCCGCGACAGGACGGAAAGACCCCGUGGAGCUUUACUGUAGCCUGAUAUUGAAAUUCGGCACAGCUUGUACAGGAUAGGUAGGAGCCUUUGAAACGUGAGCGCUAGCUUACGUGGAGGCGCUGGUGGG